GUUUGAUUCUGGCUCAGAACGAACGCUGGCGGCACGCCUAACACAUGCAAGUCGAACGCAGGCGUUCCUUCGGGAACGUGCUGAGUGGCGGACGGGUGAGUAACACGUGGAAAUCUACCCAGUGGUGGGGGAUAACUGUUGGAAACGACAGCUAACACCGCAUACGCCCCGCAAGGGGGAAAAAUUUAUUGCCAUUGGAUGAGUCCGCGUCGGAUUAGGUAGUUGGUAGGGUAAAGGCCUACCAAGCCUAUGAUCCGUAGCUGGUCUGAGAGGAUGACCAGCCACACUGGGACUGAGACACGGCCCAGACUCCUACGGGAGGCAGCAGUGGGGAAUCUUGGACAAUGGGGGAAACCCUGAUCCAGCGAUGCCGCGUGAGUGAAGAAGGCCUUCGGGUUGUAAAGCUCUUUCGCCUGGGACGAUAAUGACGGUACCAGGAGAAGAAGCCCCGGCUAACUACGUGCCAGCAGCCGCGGUAAGACGUAGGGGGCUAGCGUUGUUCGGAUUUACUGGGCGUAAAGGGCGCGUAGGCGGUAGAUCAAGUCAGGUGUGAAAGCCCUGGGCUUAACCCAGGAAUUGCGCUUGAUACUGAUUUGCUUGAGGACGAGAGAGGAAAGUGGAAUUCCUAGUGUAGAGGUGAAAUUCGUAGAUAUUAGGAGGAACACCAGAGGCGAAGGCGGCUUUCUGGCUCGUAUCUGACGCUGAGGCGCGAAAGCCUGGGGAGCAAACAGGAUUAGAUACCCCUGGUAGUCCACGCCUUAAAAGAUGAGUGCUAGACGUUGGAAGUUCAUUCUUUCAGUGUCGCAGUUAACGCGUUAAGCACUCCGCCUGGGGAGUACGGUCGCAAGAUUAAAACUUAAAGGAAUUGACGGGGGCCCGCACAAGCGGUGGAACAUGUGGUUUAAUUCGACGCAACGCGAAAAACCUUACCAGCCCUUGACAUGGGGAUCGAGGAGACGAGAGAUCGACUCCGCAGUUCGGCUGGAUCCCGCACAGGUGCUGCAUGGCUGUCGUCAGCUCGUGUCGUGAGAUGUUGGGUUAAGUCCCGCAACGAGCGCAACCCUCAUCCUUAGUUGCCAUCAGGUAGAGCUGGGCACUCUAAGGAAACCGCCGGUGAUAAACCGGAGGAAGGUGGGGAUGACGUCAAGUCCUCAUGGCCCUUAUGGGCUGGGCAACACACGUGUUACAAUGGCAGUGACAAUGGGAAGCGAAGGGGUAACCCGGGGCAAAUCCCAAAAAACUGUCUCAGUUCGGAUUGCACUCUGCAACUCGAGUGCAUGAAGUUGGAAUCGCUAGUAAUCGCGGAUCAGCACGCCGCGGUGAAUACGUUCACGGGCCUUGUACACACCGCCCGUCAAGCCAUGGGAGUUGAUCAAACCUUAAGCCGGUGAGCUAACCUCGCAAGAGGGGGCAGCCGACCAAGGUGGGGUCAGCGACUGGGGCUAAGUCGUAACAAGGUAACC
rnacentral:rRNA from 1 species